AUGCUUUCUGUUUGCAGUUUCCCCUGUUCUACCACUAGAUGCUGUGCGUAUGCAUGGUCAGAGCUGUGUGUAUACACAUAUUUCUAUGUAUAAGGUGGUAAAUUCCACACUUUGCAUAGAAAUGUUUGAAUGCACGGUUUAAGCACAUAUUGUGUGUGUUGUCUGUUGAUUAAUGAGGCCCCUAGAGUUAAAAAUUUGUUG